AGCAGCCGCGGUAAUUCCAGCUCCAAUAGCGUAUAUUAAAGUUGUUGCAGUUAAAAAGCUCGUAGUUGAAUUUCGGGAUUGACACAUCGGUCGUGCCUUAAGGGGUAUGAACUGGUGUAGUCAAUUUCCCACCUUCUGGAGAACCGCGAUGCCCUUAAUUGGGUGUCACGGGGAACCAGGACCUUUACUUUGAAAAAAUUAGAGUGUUUAAAGCAGGCAUUUUGCUUGAAUACAUUAGCAUGGAAUAAUAAAAUAGGACGGCAUGAUUCUAUUUUGUUGGUUUCUAGGAUCACCGUAAUGAUUAAUAGGGAUGGUUGGGGGCAUUAGUAUUCAAUUGUCAGAGGUGAAAUUCUUGGAUUUAUUGAAGACUAACUACUGCGAAAGCAUUUGCCAAGGAUGUUUUCAUUAAUCAAGAACGAAAGUUAGGGGAUCGAAGACGAUCAGAUACCG
rnacentral:rRNA from 1 species